GACGACCCAAAUUUUUGUCAUUUCAGUGAAGAUACUUAGCAUAAACAUUAAUCAAGGUUUCACUGAGCUAAAGUACCUCUCCCCUAGUUUCAAUCAUACUCUCAUGGCAAUUUCACACCCAAUGCUACGUAGUGUGGACGGUAUGCUUUAGGUCUCCUUCUUGUUCAUGAAGGUCAUCGAUCUGAUAGUGAAGCUUCUAUCGUUCGAUCAUCCACUAGUUUAUCUCAACUUCAACUUCCUUUUGAAAAGUCAUAAAGCACCCCGUUAUUUCUCUUUCCCGUUCCAUGGAAAGCUUUUAGCUGAGUUUGAAGCUUCGACUGUGUGCUUGUCAGUAAGGCCUUCUCUUUCUAGAAAUCACUUGAUUGCUGAUCCAUAGCACCGGUGGCAAUGUCCAGGUCUUCUUGUAGGGUUUGUAUGGUAACACGAUGCUCUUUCUCAACCUCCUUACGAACUGACCUAAUUCUGGCCUCAAAUCCUGCCUUAUGAUGAACUAAUUCCUCUUUAGCCCUUUCCAGAUCUGCAUUUAAGAUAUGCAGAGUAGACCGAUAGUUCUCUUCUACCUCUCAUCGAUCCUGCUUAAUUCUGACUCCAAUCUCUGCUUCUCGAUCCAUCGGCUCUUUG
rnacentral:lncRNA from 1 species